GACGUAGGGUGCGAGCGUUGUCCGGAUUUAUUGGGCGUAAAGAGCUCGUAGGCGGCUCGUCGCGUCGACCGUGAAAACCAGCAGCUUAACUGCUGGCUUGCGGUUGAUACGGGCGGGCUAGAGUUCGGUAGGGAGACUGGAAUUCCUGUGUAGCGGUGAAAUGCGCAGAUAUCAGGAGGAACACCGGUGGCGAAGGCGGGUCUCUGGGCCGAUACUGACGCUGAGGAGCGAAAGCGUGGGGAGCGAACAGG
rnacentral:rRNA from 1 species